GACAGAGGGGGCAAGCGUUGCUCGGAAUCACUGGGCGUAAAGGGCGCGUAGGCGGGAUGGCAAGUCGGUCGUGAAAUCCCUCGGCUCAACUGAGGGGGGUCGGCCGAUACUGCCGUUCUUGAGGGAUGCAGAGGAGACUGGAAUUCCCGGUGUAGCGGUGAAAUGUGUAGAGAUCGGGAGGAACACCGGUGGCGAAGGCGGGUCUCUGGGCAUUCCCUGACGCUGAGGCGCGAAAGCGUGGGGAGCAAACGGG
rnacentral:rRNA from 1 species